AUGGUUAUGGGUACCCCGAGUCCUCACCGCCUUGGUGUACUCGUUCUUAGAUUGAGUCUCAUCAUGAUUAAACUUUUCUGUCCAUGGGCGUGUGGUCACCCUGUAACAGUUGCCCUUAAGGUUACAACCAUUACGAAGGAGCACUUUGAGAUGAUUGUUUUCGUUAAAAAAUUUAGUAGGUGUUUACUUAAAGGUACUGUCAUGAGUGGAUUUGUUUUGGCAUGUUCAACAAAUAGGCAUGCUUAG